GGGGUGGGGGGCGGUGGGGUACUUAUGGUUCUAUGAAGGGAGGAGGAGGGGGGCAUCCAAAUAUAGAUCCUGAUCCUCCAACUCGGUGAAUUAAUGUCCAUAUUCUAUGACAGGGAAUGCUGGGCUUUUGUGAUAUUUUCAGUCAGUGAGCAGGGAUCUGUAGAAACCUUGCGCCAUCGACCAUAGGGUAUUAUAGAACACGGGGGGUUCCAAUGGUAGAAAGACACCGAUUGGUGGGUGACGACUUUUUAUAUGCUCCAAUGAAAUCCUUCGCUGCUCUCUAUUUACUGUGAGCUGAAGCAAUGUAAUCUUCUUCCGUCGGUAGAUCCAUCGACUGACAACAGUAGAUCAGCUUUCCUGAGGGCGACGCUACCUAUAAGAAUAUGUGCUUCUGUAGUAAAAUAACAACCGCAGAUUAAGGUUUAGCAGAUGAUGAAAUGACUAAAUGUGAAUGAAAUGCAUCGCUCAUGAGAGAAGGAUUCGGGUGAUUCAGGUGGAUAUCUUUUAAGUUCGCUUGAAUGACAUCUCGGGGAAAUAUCGUUUUAAUGGUGUGAGAUGGAGCCACGGAUGCAAAAGAGAAGCUUUGGAGCUUAGAAGUGUUGGAUAUACAGAAUACGGGUUAACAAUAACUGGAAACCACUGCGACGAGUCAAUGGAUAUUUCUUUCAUGGAAACAACUGGAUUUUGGACCACCUGUCCUUUGCGAAUCUUUUUGCGGUCUGGGCUUGCUGUUCUAAGCAAUCAAAUGGGAAGCCCUUACCCCAAAAAGCAUUUGCGAAGGACACAUACAGCUAUUAUGAACUUCACUUAGUCAAAAUGAUAAUGAUGAAGGUGAUGAUGAUGAUAUGAUGACGACAAUGAUGCACGACAUUAAUUGAACCCUUAAUAUUUCUUAAGUAAGCAAUGUGUAAAAAGUAUUUGCCAUGCCUAACUUAACUGUUGUCCAGAAUUAGGAUGACAUAAAUGAUCAAGUGGAUAUUUGCAACUAAAUCAUUCUUAAAUAUAUUUAUCGUAAAAAGUUUGGUAAUUAUUUUCUGUAGCGACACAUGGUUCUCUUGGGGCCACUGUAUUACCGGAAAAGUGACGUAGCAUUUGAUCUGUCGGUCAAAUAGAUACAAUUUGAAUAGUAUGAUGACCUGAUAUUUACUUUUGAGAAAAAGAUGUACAGUCUGACUGGUUGAAAUCUGUUAUAACAUUUAACUGAAUCAUUUACUCAACUGUUUACAGUGUACUGUUUUACAGUUUAUGUUUAUUUUGAAAACAGAUUGUCGAAGUUCAGUAGAAUACAAAUAAUGUAACAAGCUACAUUACAACAGGAAUGUGCUUAUGUGCUUCAAACUGGAAUGGAAUUUUAAGGAAGCAACUUUGUUAUUAAAUACUAUUGUAGAAUUAUCAUUGCAGAUGCAGAACAUGCAUAAGGAGCUUUAAAAAGACACCAGUCUGACAUUACAGAGUUUGCAGAGUAAACAAAGUCAGAAAAAGGCUCAGGAGACUCCACAUCAUUCCCAAACAGAGUAAAUUGCACUUCUGAUUAUUACAUAAGCAAAGAGAGUGUCAUUAGGUCACGUAUCUUCCAAAGACAAUGAUAUGGCAUGGAAGUUGCCUUUUUAUUGCAAUACAGAUUAUUCACAUGAUGUUUUCUUUUGGGUGUACAUAGGGGCAGUAGUGUGUUUGGGAAUUGGCGUUACUAUAUACAAUGAAGUUCUGAGUUAUGUGUUUGUUCCAUUGCUUCCUGGUGUAUUAUACAAGUCUUACCCUUUUUGAUGUAAAUAAAAGUCCCAAUAAACAUUAUGAAACAUUUUCAAUAAGACAAGUGUAAGUUGUCUCAUUGUUUCUUCUCCACAACUUCAGCAAAUGUAAUAAAUGUAAAAAAAACUCAACUGAUACUCCUACAGGAAACUGUAACACAAACUCAUUUAUUGUUCAAUGCAGGUGUAUUGAAGCUGUGUACAGCGGACCAUUAAGGAGUGUUCCUGAUGUAGUAUAGUGACUUGUGUACUGACUGUCUCAAGAUCUGAAAAUGAAAAAAAAAGUACAAAACUAUAAGUAUGUACUUUUUUUUCAGAAACCGACAAUGUCUUUCAAAAAUCAAACAUUCAUAUAACUGAAAUGUUAUUUCAAGUGGAUGUUGUCAGAUGAUUACAUCACUAGAUAUUCAUUAAGCAGUCUAGAGCAGAAAUGACUUUAAAGGCAUGUUUUACCAUGUGAAAACAUACAAUUAUAAGUUCAGAUAUUUACUGUGUUUUAUAUGUUUAUUUCAUCAAAACACUUUUCCUAUAUCCUUUUUGUACGCAGUCCUUUAACACUUUGUUGUCCCUCACUGAUGACAAAUGACUGUAUACUCUAGAUAGCUAUAUUGUUUUUCUAGAGAAGGUGCUUGGGCUAUCAUUUACUGGUAUAUGUUGUGCAUUGGAGUCAGAGACUUCGGAGUCCCCUGAAGUGCUAACCCAAACCCAAACCACAGAAUCAAGACAAUGAAGUGAAGAAAUACAUUAAAAUAUUCUGAAAAAUAUGCAAUAAUAAAUUACAUAAUUGAAGAACAAUGCGUUAUUUGGGCAGAGGCAGCUUUAGGUGUCAAUUGCCCUACCCCUCACUCCCUAUUGUAUCCAUUUUAAAUUACUCACAUGUACUAUGUGGGCAAGAAAAUGCACAUCACUUUAAUCCAGUUGCCAAAUGAAAGCAUUGUAAGAUUUUGCACUGUCCCCCUGUUUCCGUGUCUCCUUCCUCAGCCUCUGUGUUGCCUCGCAGGCUCACGGGCCGCCACCUUUAACUCCACUACCACCACUCGUGCUCUUGUUCUUGUUAUGCCGUACAUUCUUGACGCCACGUAGAUUUGCAAUCAGGAUUUCAAUUGCAAUAGGACAUUGUCAAGGUAAACAUUUUUGCUUCCCCAAAACUAGUCCAUUGGUAAAAUCCUUGUAAAUUGUUACACAGAUUUUACAGGACCCCUAAUCUAGGUGUCUGUCCUUCAAUAACUAAUCUUUGGCAGAGUCUUACCUCAUUGUUAAAUAUGCUGAGAGAAGUUACCAGAAGAAGCUAUAAAAUCUAUUGGAUGAUACAACAAAAGAAAAUCCUAAUGGCAGGUAUAACAUCAGCCAUGAUGAGUGUUCACAUGUGGUUCAGAGCCUACCAUUUUUCACAAGUAUGUGGUCUUUCAUGUUCUUGUUUUGGAUGUUCUUAAUUGGGAGAUUGUAGCCACUACAACACAGAGCCACAGUCAACAAAUAUCCAACUGUGAUUUCUUUCAUGGGACAUUUUUUCAUUUCUUGUACCUGUAUUUAGUCUGUAUGGAUAAUGUCUAACUGUAGAUAUAUGAAUGAGCCGUCAUGCAAACAUGAAACUAAUGUCUGUUUUGUCUUUGCUAUUGCUGGUCUUCACAACUAAUAAAAAUGUAUUCACAAAGUCGUCACUGUCAGUGUCUGACACUUAUGUCCAUCUAAAUGUCAAUGUUUUGCAUGGAGGCCAAGCAUGGAAAACAUGCUGUGAAGAAUAAGCCUCUUAUUACAUUGACCCAACUGGGGAUAUUUUAUGAUAUCUGAUCUCACUCUGCACUCGGGAACCUGCACACAUACGUGCAUGCACACAUACACACACACGUGCACACACACACACACACACACACACACACACACACACACACACACACA
ensembl:lncRNA